AUGAGAGUGUUAAAAAGUUUCUAAAAGUACAUCAUGGCUAAAAAAACCAUGGUCUCCAGAUGCUCUACAGUUUAUAGUGAAGGGUUCCAGAGUUUAGGAGCUGCACACGUUACAUUUUGCAUAAAGAUUCAAUAUUCUUAAUAUGUGCUGAUGAAAACAAUCUUAAAAUCAAUUUCAAACAGGCAGUUUUAGUUAAAAAAAGUCUGCAAUCUACUUUCGUGGAUUAUAUCAAUUUGAAAUUAUACUUUGUUCCCUCAACCUGAUAUUCUAUUAUCAGCGAACUCGUAUCAGUUAGGUUGUGUGCACCUGACGUGGUGACGUCAGAUCCGUUUUCAGAUCUUGAUUUUCCCUCGCGACUGCAAGUGGUUGGACUUUUCUCCGGGGCAGUUACAUUUGGAUUUAAAAAUAAGAUCAAUGUGGAGUUUCAGAGAAUUACUACUGUUCCUCUUGAGGAGAAGUCCAUGGCCCAGUUAGACAUGCACUAAAGCCAGUUGAUUAGUCAUCAGCACCAAAGGAGGAGCAACACGCCAAAAGACUGCUGACAUCAUAAAUACUUUGGACCAGGUCUGUGAAGGGGGUCCCCAUCCUGAUGAAGAAGCAAUCUAAGGCUGCUGUUUUGAGAUGUAUGCAGUUGAAAGGAAGAUUACAGGGAGGAAUGAAGGAAUGCAUAUCUUUCUCAGUAUCCUGGAGUAACAUGGGAUUGAUCAUAGCGACAUGAGAGGAACAAGAACAAUUCAAAUGUUUCUAGACUUGUAGCUUUACAGAAAACAGGCGUUCAGCCUUUUUGCUUGCAAGUCCUCACAAUGAAUCAAUGCCUACCUCCAUUGUACAAUGAUUUCUGCAUUUUUGGAAGACUUGAAUAAUUGAAUGUAUGCUGAGAAUCACAAGGAAAUGAAAAAGCAAAUAUUACAGGAACACCUGAAAAAACAAGACAUUUAUGUUCUGCUUUCCUGAAAAAUCACCUUCUAAACACUUUCUUAAAGAGCAGCUAAAUACCAGGCUGUCCAGUGAUGUCACAGUGUACUGACACACACACCUGUACACAACCGAGAAGUGAAACCACUGGAGAUAAGCUUACACAAAAUUUUCUUUAAACCAAGUGGGUUGAAACCAUUGUUAAAGUGCAGUUCCUUGAAUGGACACUUGAGGCCUGCUCCAAAAGCAAAUCAAUCCCCAUAGAAAUAUACAGAAAUACACGCAGACAAUAAACUAUGCACUAUGUGGCCCCUUUUUAGAUUAGCCGGGAGUUACACAUGCCAGAAUGGCGACAGUGGGAGCCCCCCCACAUUGAGCUUAACAAGGCUCUUCAGAAACCUGUGGGUGACGUCACAGAGGCUACGUUCAUACUUUAUACAGUCUAUGGUCAGACGGGGGGAGAGGGGCUCCCC